CGCUCGUCUUGUUCCUCUUCCUCCCUCUCCCACCUCCUUCUUCCCUCCCGAAUCCAUCCAUACCAACUCCAAUAAUAAAAGGUGAAAAAAAUUUGGAGAGGGGGAGCCGCCCCGCUGCCGCCGGGGAUCUCGGCCGCAUUGCGCGUCUAUUGUCAGUACGGGCUCGGACCGGCGGAGGUCGUCGCUGUUUUCUCUGGGAGCGGCGGCGGCGGUUUGCUGAUUUGGUAGCGGCUUCGCUUCGCCGGUUUGCUGCCCCUCUAGCGGGUGGGAGGGGCUUGCCGGCCGUGAGGUGGUGGCAUUCUUCGUGCACGGCGGCGUCCAUCGGGAGCGGAUUCGGUGGAAAGGGACAUCGGAAUCCCUGCGCCCGAAAAAUUUAUUGAUCUGCGCCGGCGCCCCCACCCUCCUCGCGUAGGAGCUGCGCCGGCGCCCUGCAAGGCCCCCCGACGGAAGCAGCGCCUGACGCCCUGCAGCCUCCCUCCCGGAUCUCGCCGCCCCCCCUGCAGGACCCCC